rnacentral:tRNA from 1 species
GAGGGUACAGCUCAGUGGUAGAGUGCAUGCUUAGCACGAACGAAGUCCUGAGUUCAAUCCCCAGUGCCUUCA